UCUUAUCAAGAGAGGCGGAGGGACUGGCCCGAUGAUGCCCGGCAACCGAUCGCUUCCGUCAGCUGCGAUACGGUGCCAAUUCCUGCAAAGCGGCGGCUUUGAGAGAUGAGA
rnacentral:ncRNA from 1 species